GAAUCUCAAUCAACUUCUCACUCACCAUUCACUAUUUAUUUCCCAAGAUGUUGCUUUGUUCUUUCAGCCAGCAAACGUAAGGAUUCCUCCUCCAGCCUUCAAAGUGCCAAAAAGAAAAAUGGACCAUUAGUGACAUUAAAAGGUGCUGCCUUCCAUCUUCCAAGCCAUUUGCUGUUGUGAUCAGAUCAGACCAGUUCAUGUUGUGAAAUUUCCGGAAGGAAUUGCGUCUUCAUUUUCAAAAGGCGUCUUGAAGAGAGUGGUUUUCAUGAAUUUCUACUCUGAUAUAAAAGGUACGAGGAAGCAGAGUCAGAUGAUGCCAUAAGGGAAGUUACUGAUUUGUUGCUGCUCAAAAGGGUCAUCAAUAAGGCUUAGUUCUUCUCCAUGGACGAUGGGUAAUCCUCUCGAGGGGAUCAGUUCUUGCUUCUCCGAGUCCUCGGACAACUUUUGUCGCGUUCGUCCCACCGGCUGAUAUCUGAACCGAAAAGCUAAGUAAAUUCGAAUUAAAGCAGAAAGAUAUCGGGUUGAUAGAGUACGGAUGAAAUGUUAGCUGCUUCUGCUCGUGUCAUUCACAUGUUUUUUCACGUUGAUUUCUUGUUCCUAGAUGCUGUCUAGGGACAGGCUUCAGCUACAAAGGAGGGAAAGUUGUGAAAGUUUCCCGAAGAGGGGCGUUGGAUGUGCAUAAAGAGCGUUUAGGAUUUCAUCGUUCCGUUAUCGUGGUUUUCCAGCAGCAAUGGGAGCAGUUUGUUUUUCCCGGGCAUUCCUCCGAUCUAUGAGAAGAGGUUUCAUUCACAUGGAGGUAUUACUAUGCCACUAGAGCCUGUGGAUAUCUGCCAAGGCUGAUGGAGUGCGGGCAUACUCAUCAUGAUAAGCUCUCCUCGAUACGAAUACUAGAGCCAGAGAGGGUGCUCCCUUUUCCUGCAGGUAUCCGGAGCUCGAUUUGUCUGAGAAGAACCGAAAUGGAAACCAUGAUCCCAGAAGAGUAUUCUCGAACAAAUUCUCCACCGCCCCGUAGAGUGCAUUCGAAGACAAGGAAUCGAGAACUGUCACCAGGAUCGAACCCCUCCAUUCCCAAAUGUUGCCUUUCUUUGGCAUAACCUUGAGAGAGCCUCUGCCCUCACUUCCUCGGAUGCACAUCUUUGUUCCGAUGAGUUCCCCCAUUUGAACUUCAAUUUUCCUUCAGUCACCUGCAGACAUAGUUGGAAGCUGUCAAGCAUUCUGUACUGUCCCUUUCUUUACGGUCUUACCAUCUGUGUAGUAGCGGGGACUGAGAAGAGAGAUUAAUAUGUUUUUUACCUGCGAAUAAACACUCUGUCGAUGUGUAACGAGAUGAGAUAUAUUCCUUCCACAAUCAGAACUCUGUAUCUUCAAUUUCCUUGUGCACCUCCUGGAAAGAUUCAUUGGUUGUACCUCUGAAA